rnacentral:misc_RNA from 1 species
CUGUUGCAUUGCUUGAGCUGAUAACAAGGUUAUUCGCCAGACCCGUAUGCAACUGAACGGAGCCAUUGUUGACGGUCGAGGACAGCGCCGAGUUGCCGCUCAACCCGUCGAUCUUGUCGAGGAGCUGAUCGAUGGUNAUCGGGAUAUGAGUCGCGUCAUUCUGGUUUGGCGGAACGCUGGAUGCGUCGGUGAAAGUAAUCGGCGUUCCGUUCACCGUGAUCGUGUCGCCAGCCGCAAAGCUCGCCGACAGCGAGUUGGUGUUCGCCGCGCCCGACAGCGCGGUCGUGCCGUUGAUCUUGG